AAGUAAAAUUGAACACAUAGCGAAAUUAAAAUAACUAUUGAUGCGAACAUAAUAAUUCUCAAUGACAACUUGGAUAUGUUGCAAGAAAAUGUGAAAUGGUGAUCACUUAUUAGAGAGACUUAUGGCGAUUCUGUUAGUACUCACUCUGUUAGUGAUUCUGUUAAUUGGCUUACUACAUACGCUGAGGAUUCAGUGGAGUGAAAAGUUUCUGAAAAUUUGUGGUGGGGAUCAUUAUAUAAAAAAGAGAUGUAUGAUACACAAGUCUUUUUACAUCAGUCGAUUUGUGGACCGCUCCUACUACAUAGAACAGAUUACUUCUACUGUAUCAAAGUAUACUUGCCUUGAAAACGUCUGACGCUAUGAAUUACGUUCCAAUUCAACAGAAUGAGGCGUGCGAGAGACACGCAUCUUUUCAUACAUCUUCCCAUACAUUUUCGAAACCUCGCUACAUACUUCAUAUCAUGAUGAGGAGAUAUGCUUUAACAUUAACUAUGUAUAAGUUUCUGGACAUUGGAAUAGUCGUGGGACGUACGUCUCAUGUAGAAUAGAUAUAGAUAUAGAUUGUUGCGAUCAGCAACAAUCGAGGCAACCGUAUAAUCAUGCCUCAUGCUACGUGGAAGGUGUUCAUUGAGAGACGUAUAGAUAUUGAGCGAUUAAUACAGUCAACUGUCUCAUCAUCAUCAUUAUCAUCGCCACUAAUUCAAGAUCUGAACGUAGAACUUGUUAAAGUAUGAUACGAAAAAUGUAAAAUUGUCAUUGUAUGGUACAUGCUUGUACAUGAAACCAACAAUUGUAUUCAUCUUAUUUAAACUCGAGCAAUGUGUCAAGCAUGCGUACUCUAAACUAAGUCAAUGUAUGCAUGGUGUUAGUGAAAAAUUCAAAUAUUUUGUGUCAUUUUUAAAACAAAAUUACUAAUAAACGCAAUGAAAAAACUUUGCACAAAGUUGAUAAUAAAAAUUCUGUUAUAGAAU